AUGGUUCCCACCAGUGUCUUACUGUUGCUGACAGCUGCAUCCUAUGUUCAGUCGGAUGUUGAGCUCACUCAGCCCAGCUCCAUAGUAAUUAAGCCUGGGGACCCUCUCACCAUCCCCUGUAAGGUGUCUGGAUAUUCUCUUACUGAAUGCUGUAGCUAUGUGACGGCAUGGGUUCGACAGCCUGCAGGGAAAACACUGGAGUGGAUAACAGACAUAUGGGAGAAUGGAGAUAUUUACAAGGCAGAUUCCCUGAAGAGCAAGUUCAGCAUCUCUAAAGAUCCCUCCAGCAGCACAGUGACUCUGAGAGGGCAGAACCUGCAGACUGAAGACUCAGCUGUCUAUUACUGUGCCAGGCGACCACUGUGAUACCAACCA